CCUACGGGGGGCAGCAGUGGGGAAUAUUGCACAAUGGGCGCAAGCCUGAUGCAGCCAUGCCGCGUGUGUGAAGAAGGCCUUCGGGUUGUAAAGCACUUUCAGCGGGGAGGAAGGCGUUAAGGUUAAUAACCUUGGCGAUUGACGUUACCCGCAGAAGAAGCACCGGCUAACUCCGUGCCAGCAGCCGCGGUAAUACGGAGGGUGCAAGCGUUAAUCGGAAUUACUGGGCGUAAAGCGCACGCAGGCGGUCUGUCAAGUCGGAUGUGAAAUCCCCGGGCUCAACCUGGGAACUGCAUUCGAAACUGGCAAGCUAGAGUCUUGUAGAGGGGGGUAGAAUUCCAGGUGUAGCGGUGAAAUGCGUAGAGAUCUGGAGGAAUACCGGUGGCGAAGGCGGCCCCCUGGACAAAGACUGACGCUCAGGUGCGAAAGCGUGGGGAGCAAACAGGAUUAGAUACCCCAGUAGUC
rnacentral:rRNA from 1 species